rnacentral:rRNA from 1 species
AUGCGAGUUGAAUGGGAUACCCAAAGUUCCCAUGGCAAACUGCUCAGUAACACAUGAUCAACUUACCCUAUAGAGAAAAAUAACCUCGGGAAACUGAGGAUAAUGUUUCAUAGUUGAAUUGGCUUGGAAAAGUUUUUCGACGAAAGGGGUAAAAAAAAUGGUUUUUAUCUGCUAUAGGAUAGGAUCGUGUUCGAUUAUGGUUGUUGGUGAGGUAAUGGCUCACCAAGCCGAUAAUCGAUAGGGGCCGUGAGAGCGGGAGCCCCGAGAUGGGUACUGAGACAACGACCCAGGCCUUACGAGGCGCAGCAGGCGCGAAACCUCCGCAAUACACGAAAGUGUGACGGGGUUACCCAAAGUGUUCAAUUUUGAACUGUGGUAGGUGAGUAAUGUUCCCUACUAGAAAGGAGAGGGCAAGGCUGGUGCCAGCCGCCGCGGUAAAACCAGCUCUUCAAGUGGUCGGGAUAAUUAUUGGGCUUAAAGUGUCCGUAGCCGGUUUGGUAAGUUCCUGGUAAAAUCGGGUAGCUUAACUAUCUAUAUGCUAGGAAUACUACUAUACUAGAGGGCGGGAGAGGUCUGAGGUACUACAGGGGUAGGGGUGAAAUCUUAUAAUCCUUGUUGGACCACCAGUGGCGAAGGCGUCAGACUGGAACGCGCCUGACGGUGAGGGACGAAAGCCAGGGGAGCGAACCGGAUUAGAUACCCGGGUAGUCCUGGCCGUAAACGAUGCAUACUAGGUGAUGGCACGGCCAUGAGCCGUGUCAGUGCCGUAGGGAAACCGUUAAGUGUGCCGCCUGGGGAGUACGGUCGCAAGGCUAAAACUUAA